GACGAACGCUGGCGGCGUGCUUAACACAUGCAAGUCGAACGAUGAAGAAAAGAAUCGAAGCUUCGGCAGAAAUUCAUUUCGGAUUAGUGGCAGACGGGUGAGUAACGCGUGAGCAACCUACCUCUUACAAAGGGAUAGCCUCGGGAAACCGGGAUUAAUACCAUAUAACAUUGUGACGAAGCAUUUCGAUGCAAUCAAAGCUACGGCGGUAAGAGAUGGGCUCGCGUCCCAUUAACCGGAUGGUGGGGUAACGGCUCACCAUAGUGACGAUGGGUAACCGGGCUGAGAGGGUGAACGGUCACACUGGAACUGAGACACGGUCCAGACUCCUACGGGAGGCAGCAGUGGGGAAUAUUGCACAAUGGAGGGAACUCUGAUGCAGCGACGCCGCGUGAGUGAUGAAGGAAUUCGUUUCGUAAAACUCUGUUCUAUGGGAAGAAAAGGACUGUACCAUAGGAGAAAGCUCCGGCUAAAUACGUG
rnacentral:rRNA from 1 species